AUGAGCAGUCGUGUAGUAAGACACAAAGGAAUUAUUAAAGAGUUCGUGUGUAACGAGAUCCAGAAAUGGAGUAAUUGUCCGGUCUGAACAAUUGGCUAUCGUGCAAAGGAGACAAAAAGCGGUGUUGCGUGCGAACGUGACUUGAGGGUACGUGAGAUGCCAGGAAUCUUAUGGCAGGUACAGCAACUUGAACUAUGCGCACUUAGUCACGCAACAGUCCAAAGCAAGCAGAACCGGAACACGCCUGUUCCCAGCACCCUUUCCUCGCCAGAGGCAUCACUCUCUCAGGGCAUUUAACUCCUCAAACAAGCUUGCUCGCUUUCAGUCUUGCGGCAGAUUUAAUCUAACCCGAGGCGGUCGCUAUCUUCUCACCAGCCCCCUCCCUCCCGUUUACAGGUAACCAACAGGUAGAUGAUAGUAUCUGCCACAUCCUGGUCUGUCAGACUGACGGGCUCCUUGCAACCAAGCUUCCAGUGAGGUGUUUUAUUGCACCAUUCUCAGUCAAGCGUGUCUCCGUGCUCCCUAAACUCUGCUGUGCACCGUCCUAUUUACAGAUUGCACUUUGUCCAACACUCCUGUUCCAGUUUCCAGAUUCCUAAAGCAAAAAAAAACAAGUUAUUGGAGGAACUCAGAGGGUGAGGCAGCAUCUGUAGUGGGAAAUGUAUGAUCAACGUUCCUGGUUGAGUCCUUUCAUCUGGACAGGAAUUUUCUCACUGUUUUCACUUAAAUACAAAAGUGCUCGAGAAUAUUUCUACUAAGGGCCAUCAUAUGGACAAGGCAAGGACUCAGAAUGUCCACUGUCCAUUUCCUUCCACAGGUAGGGCUGGACUCCUUUGAGUUCCUCCUGUGGCUUGUGUGUUGCUCCAGAUCCCAUCAUCUGUAGUCCCUUGUGUCUCCCACUCAUUGACACCUUAGCCUGAUCUUCGACCAUUACUGCGCUCUUGCCUUGCCAAAUGCAGAUCGCCAUUGACUCCUCCAGCUCAAGGAGCAAGAGCUGUGCAAGCGAGCCCCUUGCUCAGCAAGCUGCUCUCUCUGAUGUGGGACAAAAGAGCAGUGGUCGACAAAUUGGCUCAGCUAGUGGAGUGGCUGUCUCACUCUUGACCUGGGUUUAGUCCUGACCUCUGCUGCUGUCUGUGUGGAGUUUGCACGUUUUUCCUGUGAUCAUGUGCAUUUCCUCAGGAUACUCCGGUUUGCUCCCACAUGCCAAACACUUGUAAGUCGGUAGUUUAAUUGGCCACAAUAAGUUGCUCCUUAUGUGUAGUUUUCCAGCAGAAUCUGGAAGCAGCUGAUGGGAAUAUGAGGGGAAUAAAAUGUUAUUUAUUGUUGUAAAACUGUGUUUGAUGACUGGCAUGUGCUGAAAAUCCUGAUCCAUGCUCUGAGGCUCUACAAUUCCCUGAGUUCUUCCUGCAGUCGCUCACAAUAUUUAUCCUUCUACUAAAACCUACAUCACAACCUUUCCACAUUUGCUGCCUGGUAGCUCACAGGGCACAAACUCACUAUUUCCUAAAUUCAAGCAAAUGCACUUCUUUAUGAAGCACUUUGGGACAACCCCCUUUGGUUCUAGAAGACAAUCAGAAAAUACAAUCCACUUUCCACUCCAACAUAGCUUAGAUCCAACUAAUUUGGCCUUUUAGGCACCCACUAUUUUAAUUUUAGUGCCUUCAACUGCCCAGACCUUCUGUAAUUCCUUCGCUAAACCUCAUGGACUCUGCUUCUUGCCAACAUUCCUUACCUUCUUGACCAAGCACUUGGGAUAUUUUCAGUUAAAAAACUCAAGUGCUGGAGGACUUGGUGGUCAAGGCAGAUUCAGUAGAAGGAAAUGGAGGACAAUCGUUGUUUCAGAUGAUUUAUUUGGAAUUAAGUACGAUGUCUCUUGUGGCUCAAUGAACCCAUGACACUCAAUUACGUCCUUGUGACCAAUGAACCCAGUAACCUGUAUGCCUUUGGAAUGUGGAAGAAACUGGAGUACCUGGAAGAAACCUACAUGGUCUCAGGGAGAAUGUACAAACUCUGGAGACAGGGGCACAAUUGAACAGAAGUUACUGACUCUGCCAAUGAUAUGCUACUACACUGCCAUAAAGAUUCUAGUCCUGGGUAUGGUUUUAUGACAAGAAACUAGUGGUUCCAUUGGAAAAUUAUUAGCUAUCAGCCAUCUGUGGACCAGCUUAUUUCAGAUUUUGACAAGCAAACUUUGAAGUCUGGAGCAUCUUAAAUAUCUGGUGAUAUUCAGGGCUGAAAUGGCUAACAUGAAGGAACAUAGUUUUUAAGGUGCUUGGAAAUAGGUACCGAGAGAACGUCAGGGAUCUUAAAAGUGCAGGUUUAUUCUUGAUGUGUGGCAGAAACUUCCACGCAGGAGAAGGGAUUUCUUCGUAUCUGUGAGUUGAGUGAGAUAAGGAACAGAGUUUGGAGCCAGCAAAGCAAAUGAGGAUGAGCGAGACCAAAAUAUCCGUCAUACAGCGUGAAAAGGUGAGUGUUCCUGCCAUUGAGCUGAUACUUGAGGGGAGGUUUUCAAAUGGACGGAGAAGAAACAGCACUGAGAUGGAUGUAGCGGAAAAGAAAUUAUAUUCAUCACACGAACAGUUCACAAGUUGGAAAUGCAGCUGUGAACCAAGUUUCCACAUGGCAGAAGACACCUACAUCCCCACAGCAACUGGCAAAUCCAUCCCGCUAGUCUCCCAAAUGCUCAUUCAUCUGCCGUUCUUAUGUUAGGGAGGAACUUUACUGUUUUGUUGUCCUUUGGGCUUUUGGUUGUACUCUUGUUUUUCCCAGGAUAUUACACAGCAAGUCUUGAAGCCUUGAGGACAGUGGUCCAGGCUUGAUGGCAGACUAAAGAGCAUGCUGUAUUUUACCCCAUCAAUUUACCUUGGAGAACACAUUACUGUGAAGCUCUGGAGUGAUUGCAUUGCACAAUAUUUUUUAUUAUCUAACUAUCUUUCACUCUCUGUACCUAGUAGUAAUCCUGAUCCUGUCUGCUGUAGUUUCUAUUAUGAAAAUCAUAAUCAUGUUUAUUAUUGUUAGGGCAUAUUCUGGAGUUAGGGUGUAUAGCAAAUAUUAACAUCAGCAACAAUCUUUGGAUCUGAAUGUGGAUUGUAGAUUAAAUUUAAAAUGCAGCUCUGGACAAUAGUUUACUGGAGCCAUUGACAACAAUGGAUUGAAAGCCAGACAAGGUUGAUUAACUCAUUUUGGGUGUCUGGAGUAUGGGAGCAAACAAGGAGGUGUGAAAAUUGUUGCAAUUCAAAGGAAGCACUGUAGAUAUAUUGUCACUAUACAACUGUCCUGCCGUUACCGUUGAUCUUCAGCAUAUAAAAUGUUAUGUAACAUUGGGAUGAUCACACCUCUUCCUCUGAGAGUGUCUCAUUUUAUUGAUUAAAAUGCUUGUG